AUUGAACGCUGGCGGCAGGCCUAACACAUGCAAGUCGAGCGCAGCGGCGGACGGGUGAGUAAUGCCUAGUAAUCUGCCUGGUCGUGGGGGAUACCGUCCGGAAACGGGCGCUAAUACCGCAUUCUAUCAGAUCAGCCUAGGUCGGCUGAGCUAGUUGGUGGGGUAAAGGCCUACCAAGGCGACGCUCCGUAACUGGUCUGAGAGGAUGAUCAGUCACACGGGAACUGAGACACGGCCCAGACUCCUACGGGAGGCAGCAGGGGGGAAUAUUGGACAAUGGGCGAAAGCCUGAUCCAGCCAUGCCGCGUGUGUGAAGAAGGUCUUCGGAUUGUAAAGCACUUUAAGUUGGGAGGCGGUACCCGCAGAGGAAGCACCGGCUAACUCCGUGCCAGCAGCCGCGGUAAUAC
rnacentral:rRNA from 1 species